rnacentral:rRNA from 1 species
AUUGAACGCUGGCGGCAUGCUUUACACAUGCAAGUCGAACGGCAGCGCGGGCUUCGGCCUGGCGGCGAGUGGCGAACGGGUGAGUAAUACAUCGGAACGUGCCCAGUAGUGGGGGAUAGCUCGGCGAAAGCCGGAUUAAUACCGCAUACGACCUGAGGGUGAAAGCGGGGGAUCUUCGGACCUCGCGCUAUUGGAGCGGCCGAUGGCAGAUUAGCUAGUUGGUGGGGUAAAGGCCUACCAAGGCGACGAUCUGUAGCUGGUCUGAGAGGACGACCAGCCACACUGGGACUGAGACACGGCCCAGACUCCUACGGGAGGCAGCAGUGGGGAAUUUUGGACAAUGGGCGAAAGCCUGAUCCAGCAAUGCCGCGGGUGUGAUGAAGGCCUUCGGGUUGUAAAGCACUUUUGGCGGGAACGAAAAGGACUGUGCCAAUACCACGGUUCGAUGACGGUACCCGCAGAAUAAACACCGGCUAACUACGU